GCACGACUAAGUGCGAAUAUAAGGGAAUCCCAAGUGCAGUAGGCAUAGAGCUUCUACGCUUUUGUCUACCGUAGGGAGAGUCAGACGAAUAAGGGCUGGGCAAGACCGGUGCCAGCCGCCGCGGUAAUACCGGCAGCCCGASUGAUGGCCGAUCUUAUUGGGCCUAAAGCGUCCGUAGCUGGCCGCGCAAGUCUAUCGGAAAAUCCACCCGCUCAACGGGCUGGGCGUCCGGUAGAAACUGCGGUGGCUUGGGACCGGAAGGCGCGACGGGUACGUCCGGGGUAGGAGUGAAAUCCUGUAAUCCUGGACGGACCGACCGCCAAUGGCGAAAGCACGUCGCGAAAGACGCGAUCCGACAGAUGAAGGGACGAAAGCUAGGGUCUCGAACCGGAUUAGAUACCCGGGUAGUCCUAGCCGUAAACAAUGCCUGUUAGGUGUGGCUCCCACUACGAGUGGGUGCUGUGCCGUAGGGAAGCCGCUAAACAGGCCGCCUGGGAAGUACGUCCGCAAGGAUGAAACUUAAAGGAAUUGGCGGGGAGAGCACUAAUCAACUC
rnacentral:rRNA from 1 species